UGGGCCAUGCUUGCUUGAAGCCCAGAAGGGCAAAAUGAUCCAAAGCCUGAAAAAGUGGUAUCCCACUGCAUUAUCCAGAACCGAAAAAAAAAACUCUGCGGAGAUUGACCGACCACCACCACCGCCUGCGUUCCCGCGCCGCCACCGCCAUGGCUGCCGCUGCCCCCCAUGCAUACUCCUCCCUCGUGCCUGUUUCGGCUGCGCGGCCUCUCUCCGGAAGCACAGUUUCUUUCGGUGCUUCGUGCCACAAGUGGAGGAAGGUUCCGGCAUGGCGACUCCACUGUGUUGCUGAAGACGAAGCAGAGGAAGUCAAAGAUUUUGGAGUCAAUAUGGCACUAUCCAUGCUAAAAUUUUACAAACGAGAAAUAUCACCUUUACUACCUUCAAGCUGCCGAUAUGUACCAACUUGCAGUGAGUACUCUAUGCAGGCGUACAAACGAUAUGGUGUUGUAAAGGGUUCCAUCUUGACUGCUUGGCGCCUUUGCCGUUGUAAUCCUCUUGGUGGAUAUGGGUAUGAUCCUCCAAAAUGGUUUGGCGAGGAAGAUGUACCUCUGCAAUAGUAAUGCCUAGUAAUUGAAAGUACAGGCAUUGUAAUUCUUCAGAUCCAGACUUGCAGCAGUUUUUAUGAACAAUUGUAGUUAAGGAGUUCAAGGGAAGACUGUAUUCUUGCAGAGUUUGUACCAUGUUGUAAUCUUUGGCUCACGGGUAUGUGCUACACCUGCCGUACAUUUAAAUAUCUUCCUUAGGUAUGCUCAUCUGAACUUCAGGUCACCAUGGCCCCAUAUCCUUGUAUGUGGUGCUUAUUUAAUUGUUUCUUCUCGGGGUAUCAUAUCUGUUCUUGUCCCUGUCCAAUAUUUUAUACGGUACAUGCUGUGUAGAUUUGGAUACGUCGUCACAUCGAUUCAUAUAUCCCAGUGGACCUAUCACUGGUCAAACUUUUUUGUUUUUCAGAUUGAUUAUUUGGUGUCCAUUUUGAUGUUUUGUUUACCCAUUCCCCAUUUCCUUUUUUCAGGUUCUGGUCACUGUCAGAAACAAUGCACAACUGUAUGUGGUAGUUUCAAGGGAAAGCCUCCCCAUCGACUAUACUGCCAAGGAACUUGAUUGGAUUUCUGAGAUUUCUAUGCUGAAGAUACAUAAAUGGUAAUGGAUUUUCUUCUAUACAAACAUGGCCCAAAACAAAGCAUCUUCUAUAAACUACUAAGCUACUUGGUGACCAGUCUAUCAGUAUAGUUGAGGAUUUGUAUUCUAGGAAUCCUAUUGGUAUAACAUGAGGACUGUGUAGUUUAGUUUAGUUAAAAAAGUAUACUAUCUAUGAUCUGGAAGAAAACUGAUCAGAAAAUUCUUUUGAUGCACGAUUUUAACAUGAUCAUCAUGCUAAAUUUAUAAUC